CCUACGGGGGGCUGCAGUGGGGAAUAUUGCACAAUGGGCGCAAGCCUGAUGCAGCCAUGCCGCGUGUGUGAAGAAGGCCUUCGGGUUGUAAAGCACUUUCAGCGGGGAGGAAGGCGUUAAGGUUAAUAACCUUGUCGAUUGACGUUACCCGCAGAAGAAGCACCGGCUAACUCCGUGCCAGCAGCCGCGGUAAUACGGAGGGUGCAAGCGUUAAUCGGAAUUACUGGGCGUAAAGCGCACGCAGGCGGUCUGUCAAGUCGGAUGUGAAAUCCCCGGGCUCAACCUGGGAACUGCAUUCGAAACUGGCAGGCUAGAGUCUUGUAGAGGGGGGUAGAAUUCCAGGUGUAGCGGUGAAAUGCGUAGAGAUCUGGAGGAAUACCGGUGGCGAAGGCGGCCCCCUGGACAAAGACUGACGCUCAGGUGCGAAAGCGUGGGGAGCAAACUGGAUUAGAUACCGGGUAGUC
rnacentral:rRNA from 1 species